rnacentral:rRNA from 1 species
GUGAGGAAUAUUGGUCAAUGGGCGAGAGCCUGAACCAGCCAAGUCGCGUGAAGGAAGAAGGAUCUAUGGUUCGUAAACUUCUUUUGCAGGGGAAUAAAGUGCAGGACGUGUCCUGUUUUGUAUGUACCCUGAGAAUAAGGAUCGGCUAACUCCGUGCCAGCAGCCGCGGUAAUACGGAGGAUCCGAGCGUUAUCCGGAUUUAUUGGGUUUAAAGGGUGCGUAGGUGGUUUGAUAAGUCAGCGGUGAAAGUUUGCAGCUUAACUGUAAAAAUGCCGUUGAAACUGUCGGACUUGAGUGUAAAUGAGGUAGGCGGAAUGCGUGGUGUAGCGGUGAAAUGCAUAGAUAUCACGCAGAACUCCGAUUGCGAAGGCAGCUUACUAAGCUACAACUGACACUGAAGCACGAAAGCGUGGGUAUCAAACAGGAUUAGAUACCCGAGUAGUCC